GGUCAUUGGGUCCUCUGUGUGUCAUUCAGAGAGUGAGAGAGAGAGAGAGAGAGAGAGAGAGAGAGAGAGAGAGAGAGAGAGAGAGAGAGAGAGAGAGAGAGAGAGAGAGAGAGAGAGAGAGAGAGAGAGAGCGAGAGAGAGAGAGAGAUAGAGAGAGAGAGAGAGAGAGAGAGAGAGAGAGAGAGAGAGAGAGAGAGAGAGAGAGAGAGAAAGAGAGAGAGAGAGAGAGAGAGAAAGAUAGACAUGCACACUCACACACACACACCAGAGUAACGCUGGCUGUUGCUCCACAGAUGAUUUCCACACACGCGGUUUGUUUUCAAGAAGAUUAGCAAGGUUGUGUCUGGAUCGGCAGGAAAUCCUGUAGGAUUAACAGUGUGAAGCUAUCACUAAUGAUGGAUCAUAGUCGUGUUCCUGCCUAUUGUCCCGAUGUGUCCAGAGGUUGCUAUGAGACGGACCACAUUAGAGGUGAAGCAACAGAGUAUGAAGGUUAGAGCGUGGAUAAUCAUCAUGUAGAAGCACACAGGCUCUGGUCAACACCUAAUCGACUUCCUCUGAAGGAUCUGCUUAAAGAUUCAAGGACACAAUGAAGUUUGUUUUGUUUGUGAUUUUCUUCGCAAUGACCUGCCAUGUGAAUUACGGGCAUCACUAUGGCAGCAGCAACUCUGAUAGUGAUGAGAGGUUCUACCCCUACCUGUUCCCCACCUUCCAGUGGUACCGCCCCAGACCUCCGCCCAUCCGCUACCCCUUCCUGUUCUGGCCUGUGUACCCGAGGCCCCUGCCUGCUCCGGCCCCUCCUCCGGCCCCACCUCCGGCCCCACCUCGGACCCCGGCCCCUACGCCCCUGACCUCGACCCCCGCCCGGACCCCUGGCCGCGGGGACAUGGACGUCUAACCACUGAAGACUAACCGCUAAAGAGCCGCAAAUUACCCCGGGGCCGAGCCAGAUGCUACAAAGCACCGUUUGUCAAGAUAGAAACUAAACAUGCAAUACGCUUCAGCCUGGUGCGAUCGCCUCAACAUGUGUGUGUGUGUGUGUGUGUGUGUGUGUGUUUCCGUAUGCAUGUUGCUUCUGCUGUGUUGAAAUGCUUGCUUUUCGUGUUGAUGUUGCAUUAGUCAGUGUUGUGUGACAGUAUUGGUUAGGGAUUGUUUUGGCUUCAUAUAAGAUGGGGUCAUCUUAUAUCACAAGGUUAGAAAACCAAUAGAAUGUAUUCACUCAUCAUUCAUUCAUCAUCAAUAACCAUUGAUUGGUGCCUUAAGAAGGGGUGGGACUGGUGUUUAAGGGCGGUAGUGGGUGGGGUGGUGGAGGGUGGAGCACCGAUGCUGCUCCAGGGUGAUAUUUACCAUGCAGGGCCCAUCAUAAGCAGGGGGAUUACCUCUCAGCCAGUAAUAACCGGGCUUAGUCCUAAAGACGGCUGCGCUUUUGGCUUCAGCAUUACUCAGCAGAUGCUGCUGUUCCCAGUGGUUAUGUCCUGACUCUACUGCGUGCACUGCUACCAAAACCACUGCCGUCGGCUUCCCUGUACUGUAGCAGAGAAAUACUCCACCCUCUCGCAACAGUGAUAUUCUUGCCAUGGUUUUUACAUGACUUUCUUCCAAUACCGAUAACGAAUGUAUCCUUUAAUGCAUAAAUAAAUAUAAACAAAUAUAAAUGCAUUGCUUGAGGAUUUAUGUGUUUUACAUUGUUGGAUUAGUGUGUGUGUGUGUGUGUGUGUGUGUGUGUGUGUGUGUGUGUGUGUGUGUGUGUGUGUGUGUGUGUGUGUGUGUGUGUGUGUGUGUGUGCCUGUCUGUCUCUCUGUCUGUGUUUGAGUUGAUGGGUGUGUAUUUGCAAGUUGGUGUGUUCAUGUUCGUGUGCAUGCAGGAGCAUGUGUGUGCGCGCACGCGCGUGUGUGUUGUGGUAACCCGGUCCUCGUUGUCGCCG
rnacentral:lncRNA from 1 species